ACUGUGCUCUUUGCUGUGUCUUUCCGCCGUUUUAAAAAUGGGCACUUUUUGAAGAACCCGCAUCAAAGUAUUGUGGAGAAGCGUCGUGUUAAAUCUAAUUGAUGAACGGCUUUUUGUCAGGUAUGUAUCGCAGCUGCGAAGACGAACGUACGUUCUCCUGUUAGGUUACAGCUGGUAGGAAGUUCUGACGAGGACAGCUGAGUGAUGUUGUUGGUGAGCUUGGAUUAAAUCAUCUCUAAACAAAGAACUUGUCCUCGUGGUGACUGACUUGGGGAGUGGAGGUCAGUGAGCCCAUUGUCUCUGCUGGUCCGACUCCAACUACAAAGCCGGCCCGCUCGCCCCCUCCUGAGUCUGAGAGGAGAUCCAGAGAGAAAGAAGUGAAAGCAGGCCGAAACCUCAGCACAUGGAUGACAUCAAC